UGUGGUAUUACUCUUUGGUUUUCAAAUAGAAACAAUUAAUUAAAUGACUUUCUCAACCCCGUUGCAUCUAAUUAGUUCAAUUUCCCAUUCUUUUUGGUAAUACAAAUUUGGAAGAAGUCUAUACUAUUAUUUUCUACAUUAGUUCAACUUAGAGCCACAAUCUAUAUUCCUCUUUAGUUCAAAAGUCAUUUUUCAAAGAUGCACUAUCUUAGGAUUAAAUUGUAUUCAUAGACCCUCAUUGAAUAAAUUAUAUCCAAUUAACUAUAUUUAUUUAACAGUUUAUGAUUUUUAAAUAUCAUGACUUUUUAAAAUCUCUAAUUUAUUUGCCUUCUACAUGUACUAGGUUAGUUUCUGCAAAAAUAUAAGGGAACUAAGUAUUGUGAUCUGGCCAUAGUGCUGUUCAGAGGCUAGUUGGGAAAUUGAGGGUGCUUGCUAUAUUUUUGAAAGUGUACUCCUUAAUAUGUGGUUUGAUUUUAAUUCAACCAACAUUUGUUCAGAAUAUACUAUUAGUAAAGCCUUGUAUUCACAUUUAUGUGAUAUGUAAUCAUGAAAAAGACAUUGACUCUGCCAUAUACAUAUUCAUAACUUAGAAGAGGAGAUAAACAUGAAAAUCUGGUAAGUCAAGCAACUAAGUUGAGAAUAUAAGGAUAGUAGAGAUUAAUUCUAGUUGGAAUUGAGGAAUUGGGAAGAAACCAUGUGAUAGUAGGAUAAAAGCUAAGAGCUUAAAUUUGGAGGACAUUUUCUAGUAGCUGAAAUGGGGAGACAUGCAAUGUAGUUAGGCCCAAGGUUGGUUUGCAUGGGAAGAAAUUGGAUUUGAUUAUAAUUAUUAUUAUUAGUAGUAGUAGUAGACAUCGUCAUAGUUGUAGUCAUAGUUGUAUUUUAUGAAGGGUAUUUGCAUAAUUCUAUAAUUAAUUAUUGAGAUGCAUUUUGUGAAAACAAAGAGAAUUAAAUCAUAGCAAAAUGGGAAAAAUUAUCUAACAUUCCUCUGCCUUUCCUUUUGGUGUCCUUUGGCUUGGUUUGGUGUCCUGAGACAUUUGCCUGUGGUGAUCUACCUCCAUGGUCACCAUGCUGUAGUAAUAAGUGUGCAAGUUUGAAAAUCAGAUGACCUGGCCUGGAGUCCUGACUCUACCCCUCACAAAAAAUUCAUAUUGAUGAACCUAGACUUUCAAGACAUGGCUAAAUUAUGUCCAAAACAAGCUUCUUAUACUGAAAUUCUGCUCUGACUGUAGGAUCAAGUACACAGAAUAUUUGACAACGUCUGGAGACAGUGUCUGGCUUGUCACAGUUGGGGAAGAUACCACAGAUAUCUCGUGGGUAGAAGCCGGGGUGCAGUUAAAUAUCCUAUGAAGCAUAUAAUGCUGUUCUCUACAACAAAGAAUUGUCUGACGUUGCUGAAGUUAAGAAACUCUGGACCAAGGUUUUUGGCCUGAACAGAGGAAAGAAUGAUGCUACCAGUAACAGAAUGAGGGCGCUGCUAGUGCAGUAUAGUUUGCAAAAAGGAAACCAGAGUUCUGUCUUUUUGAAGUGCCUAUCAGAUUUUCAAGGCCAAUGUCAAAUAUUACAAUAUCAUAAAGUAAAAAUAAGAUUAAAGUUUAUCUGUUGUUAAAUUAAUGUUUAAAUAAUUCCUUUAGAAAUUAAAUUUCUAUAAAAUGGAAAUUGUGUCUCAAAAUAUUCCUGUGUUAUCUACAAGGCCUAACAUAGCUUCUGGUAUUUCAACAUAUAUAAAAAAGUAUGAAUAUAGCGGCCAUAUUAAU
rnacentral:lncRNA from 1 species